CGUGUAGGCGGAUUGGUAAGUUGGCUGUGAAAGCUCCUGGCUUAACUGGGAGAGGUCGGUCAAUACUGUCAGUCUAGAGUAUGUGAGAGGGAAGUGGAAUUCCGGGUGUAGUGGUGAAAUGCGUAGAUAUCCGGAGGAACACCAGAGGCGAAAGCGGUUUCCUGGCACAUAACUGACGCUCAGACGCGAAAGCUAGGGGAGCGAACG
rnacentral:rRNA from 1 species